rnacentral:lncRNA from 1 species
GUGUUUCCCUAACAUUACUAAUUCAUAUUGUUGUCAGUUUUCUAGGUUCCUUUGAUCAAUUUAACCUUCAACUUCAAUAGAUUAUGCUCAUGACUUCGUUUCUUUUCUGUCUCCCUUCAAAAAUGCCUAAAAUUAUCAUCUUGCUCAUGUAAAUCAAAUUUAAACCAAAUGUAGCAAUAAAAUUUAUAAAAAAAACUAAAAUCAUCAACUUAUCCUAUAAAUUAAGGGCUUAAAAAUAAUUAUUUUUCAUGCCUUUAAAC